AUUUUUUCCAUCUGCUUUGGCAAAUCGUACAUUUAUAUACGUCUUCAUCAUCACAAUAGAGCCGGCGUCACCGACCCUGUUCUUCGUGAACUCCACUGCCCUGCUUCAGUAAUUCCUGAUUAGCUGGAUUGGAUGAGCUCCGUUUCUGAUCGACUGAACACACCUGAUCAGGACAAUCCUGAAGAAAAUGGAUCUGCUGGAGAAGUACAGCAGUGGGUGAAAGAGAGGAGAGUGAAGAAAGAGAAAGGAGUGAGCCACCGGCUGGAAGAAGAAAAAUAAGAAGAAACAGUGAUGAGCUUCUAGACCUAAACAGAGGACAUGAGGCAGAAGAGCAGAGCGCACGAGAGAGGAGGGAAACUUUUGACCAACUUUAGUCUGCUGGAAAGAAUUGCCGUUAAAAUCCUUAGAUGUCUGAGAAUAAAUGAAGUUUAUAUUUGAUAUAUUAAACAUGAUUGUUUUUGUUUUGUUAAUUUAAAUAAAGAUCUAAAUCAAA